UACGUAGGGGGCAAGCGUUGUCCGGAUUUAUUGGGCGUAAAGAGCUCGUAGGCGGUCUGUCGCGUCGGCUGUGAAAACCUGGGGCUUAACUCCGGGCCUGCAGCCGAUACGGGCAGACUAGAGUUCGGCAGGGGAGACUGGAAUUCCUGGUGUAGCGGUGAAAUGCGCAGAUAUCAGGAGGAACACCGGUGGCGAAGGCGGGUCUCUGGGCCGAUACUGACGCUGAGGAGCGAAAGCGUGGGGAGCAAACAGG
rnacentral:rRNA from 1 species